rnacentral:lncRNA from 1 species
CUUGUACCCCAUAGACACAGUUCUUUCUGCAGAUUCUAAGAGUUCCUCUCCUUUGCCUCUUUCAUUGCAGUGUGUUUAUUUGUGCUGGGCUCUCCCUCAUGAACACGAUUUUCUUCCUUCUUUGGUUGUCUCUUCUUUUGUCCUCACUUCUCCAAAGCCUUCAUGUCACCGCCAGUGAUCCCUUCUCCGCAUUCUUGCUCCAGAUCACCAGUUCGGUGGCCAGGGGCAGGAGCUCUACUUACUGCUACCGAUGUGGACGUGGGUCCACACUGGGCUUUGUGUUUCAACUCUUGCUUGCUGUUGCUUCAGGCCGAUGCCUCCUUGUGCUCUAGUGAGGAUGCCUGAGUUGCCUCGACUCCCAGACACCUCUCCUUUCCCCUUAUACCACGAUUGUUUCUUUUCAUUCAUAGCACUGAUGUUGUUUUGUUCUUCCUUAGGCAUCCUCGGGAUACCCAGAUGCUGGACCUGCUCCCUCUGUCCUGGGUGUCCUCUGUCCCCUGGCCCUCACCAGCAUCCAUUCCUACCGCUCAAGUCUCCGCUCCCCAAGAAGUCCUUGUCCCUCUGGAAACUGCCAUGUCCUCCUUGCCCUCUGAGCUUUGUGCACGCCGUUCCUGCUCCCCUGUGCCCGUCCCUCCGGCCCCCAGCCUGACUCCCCUUCCUGGGAGGGCCCGGCCUGCCGCUCCGGGUACCCAGGACUGUUGCUAAUCAGCUGUGUCUAAUUCCAUUUGAAGAAUUAACAAAUAAAAGAAUAAACACACCUGCCCGUUCUGGUUCAGAAUUGUCCAAAAGUAGUGCUCCUCAUCUGAC